rfam:Schistosoma mansoni strain Puerto Rico chromosome 4, complete genome
GUCCAGCUGAAAAGUCCCAAAUAGGACGAGACCCAAGUCCUGUAU